rnacentral:rRNA from 1 species
CAUCAAACUUUUAAAUUGAAGAGUUUGAUCAUGGCUCAGAUUGAACGCUGGCGGCAGGCCUAACACAUGCAAGUCGAACGGUAACAGGAAGCAGCUUGCUGCUUCGCUGACGAGUGGCGGACGGGUGAGUAAUGUCUGGGAAACUGCCUGAUGGAGGGGGAUAACUACUGGAAACGGUGGCUAAUACCGCAUAACGUCGCAAGACCAAAGAGGGGGACCUUCGGGCCUCUUGCCAUCAGAUGUGCCCAGAUGGGAUUAGCUUGUUGGUGAGGUAACGGCUCACCAAGGCGACGAUCCCUAGCUGGUCUGAGAGGAUGACCAGCCACACUGGAACUGAGACACGGUCCAGACUCCUACGGGAGGCAGCAGUGGGGAAUAUUGCACAAUGGGCGCAAGCCUGAUGCAGCCAUGCCGCGUGUAUGAAGAAGGCCUUCGGGUUGUAAAGUACUUUCAGCGGGGAGGAAGGUGUUGUGGUUAAUAACCGCAGCAAUUGACGUUACCCGCAGAAGAAGCACCGGCUAACUCCGUGCCAGCAGCCGCGGUAAUACGGAGGGUGCAAGCGUUAAUCGGAAUUACUGGGCGUAAAGCGCACGCAGGCGGUCUGUCAAGUCGGAUGUGAAAUCCCCGGGCUCAACCUGGGAACUGCAUUCGAAACUGGCAGGCUUGAGUC